GAACAAAUUUUAUUUCCGCUUUGAGAAAAUGCCACGGUAGAGUUUGUUGACUGUGUCUGAAUCUGCAUACCAUUUUAUUUAGAAGAUUCUGAUACGGCAAAAUGACAAACGCAUAUUCGUUCGAGGGAAUCAUUGUGUUCAGUAUGUUGGUCAUCUGCACCUGUGCCUACAUGAGAAGAGUUCCACGACUGAAAAAGUGGUUUUUAUCAGAGAAAAAGGGGUUUCUUGGGGUGUUCUAUAAAGCGUCUGUGAUUGGUACUAGACUUCAUGUUCCUGUGGCUUUGACUUGCAUAUUAAUGGCGUUCUACAUUCUGUUUCUGAGGUGAUAAGAAUCAAACAAGUGAAGGAAAGUGACUGAUGUAUAUAUAUUUAAAAAAAGAAUGGUUUCAUUGACAACAUGUGGGUACAAUCAUGACGUAUGGUACAAUGCAUUUUUGCUGUGAUAAAAGUAUUGUGCUCUGUUUUGUAAAAUUGUGAUGUAAUUUGACAUUUACAUAUGAAAUAUGUGUAUUCAGUAGGUGUAACAUUUGCAAAACAAAAUACAAGAAUUGAUAGAAACAAUUAAAGAAAUGGAUUCUCAAAGUCAAGUGAUAACUUUUAAUAGAGAUGGGUUGGGAAGCAACAGAGUAAGGGUCCAGAGGACUUAUAUAUAAUAAAUGCAAUAUCAUGUUUCAAAAAUGUGAUUUCUUUAUCUUUUAAAAUUUGUAUUUUUUGUUAACAAAAGGUGUUAGUGAUGCAGGCACAGUAAAAAAGAAUGUAUGUAUUGAAAAUACUAUAGUGGGAUUGAAAAUACUGUGAAAUGAAACACUGGGUGUUAAAUCAAAAACAUCAGUGAAUAGACGAUUUAGAAGGGAUCUGAACUUUUUAUUAAUUAUUUUUGUUUAUCUGUACCUUUCAAUGUUGUUAUGAUUUUGUACUGUACAGUGCAUGUACCCAUUUGUACCAGCUCAUAUCACACACUUUUUAUGUAUGCAGCAGAAUUACAGUGAAAAUAGUAGAAUUCUGCUUAUUAAAUAGAGUAGAAGAAACAUCACUAUCAAACAGAUGUUUUGUGGAUAAUAUGUACUCAGUGUUACUGAAUGUUUGCUGUCACACAGCAGGAUCAUUCUUUAACAUAUACAUGUAUAUGAAAUGUAUAUAUUCUUAAGUUUUAAAUAUGUGUAUUUAUUAUUCAUGCUUUUUGAUUGUCUGUAAAAUAUUAAAUAAAAAGAAAAAAAAUAUUCUUUUUUAUGUUCAUCUUUGAAGAGAAUAAGUUGGAAAAAACAUUUUUG